UACGUAGGGUGCGAGCGUUAAUCGGAAUUACUGGGCGUAAAGCGUGCGCAGGCGGUUUUGUAAGUCUGACGUGAAAUCCCCGGGCUUAACCUGGGAACUGCGUUUGAAACUACAAGGCUAGAGUGUGGCAGAGGGGGGUGGAAUUCCACGUGUAGCAGUGAAAUGCGUAGAGAUGUGGAGGAACACCGAUGGCGAAGGCAGCCCCCUGGGUUAACACUGACGCUCAGGCAUGAAAGCGUGGGGAGCAAACAGG
rnacentral:rRNA from 1 species